CCUUCAUGAAGCUGGAAUUGCUAGUAAUGGCAGGUCAGCAUACUGCCGUGAAUACGUUCCCGGGCCCUUGUACACACCGCCCGUCACACCAUGAGAGUUGGGAAUACCCGAAGCCUGUGAGCUAACUUAUAGAGGCAGCAGUCGAAGGUAGAAUCAAUGAUUGGGGUGAAGUCGUAACAAGGUAGC
rnacentral:rRNA from 1 species